AGAGUUUGAUCCUGGCUCAGAAUGAACGUUGGCGGCGUGCCUAACACAUGCAAGUCGAGCGUGAAAGUCCUUCGGGAUGAGUAAAGCGGCGGACGGGUGAGUAACGCGUGAGAAUUUACCUUUUAGUGGAGAAUACCUUUGAGAAAUCAAAGUUAAUACUGCAUACGUCUCGAAAGAGAGAAAGAUGGCCUAAUUGCUGUCGCUAGAAGAUAAGCUUGCGUUCUAUUAGUUAGUUGGUGAGGUAAUGGCUCACCAAGACGAUGAUGGAUAGCCGGCCUGAGAGGGCGAACGGCCACAUUGGAACUUAGACACGGUCCAAACUCCUACGGGAGGCAGCAGUGAGGAAUAUUGCACAAUGGGCGAAAGCCUGAUGCAGCGACGCCGCGUGGAGGAUGAAGGUUUUCGGA
rnacentral:rRNA from 1 species